GGCUGGAUAGUCUAGUGGUUAAGAUGUCCCUCCAGAGUUGGGAAGGCCUAAGUUCAAAUCCUGGUCCUGCCA